GACGAACGCUGGCGGCGUGCUUAACACAUGCAAGUCGAACGAGACGAUUGAAAGCUUGCUUUCGAAAGUCGAGUGGCAAACGGGUGAGUAACGCGUAGACAACCUGCCUUUGAGAUGGGGACAACCGUUCGAAAGGACUGCUAAUACCGAAUGUUGUAUAUUUUCCACAUGGAAGAUAUAUUAACGAUGGCCUCUAUUUAUAAGCUAUCGCUCAAAGAUGGGUAUGCGUCUGAUUAGCUGGUUGGUGGGGUAACGGCCUACCAAGGCGACGAUCAGUAGCCGGUCUGAGAGGAUGAACGGCCACAUUGGGACUGAGACACGGCCCAGACUCCUACGGGAGGCAGCAGUGGGGAAUCUUCCACAAUGGACGAAAGUCUGAUGGAGCAACGCCGCGUGAGUGAAGAAGGGUUUCGGCUCGUAAAGCUCUGUUGUCGGGGACGAAUGUGCAGUAUUUGAAUAAAGUACUGCAAUGACGGUACCUGACGAGGAAGCCACGGCUAACUACGUGCCAGCCGCCGCAGUAA
rnacentral:rRNA from 1 species